rnacentral:ncRNA from 1 species
AAUCUUCAGGGCGGGGUGCAAGUCCCCACCGGCGGUACAGCCCGCGCGCCGUAAGGCAUGAUUCGGUGAGACUCCGAAGCCGACAGUAUAGUCUGGAUGAGAGAAGAG